UCUGGCUAACGGCAAGUGUAGCUUCUAGCUAACAAAUCUCUUUCCUGCUUUCGGUGUUUGCUGUUUAGAGGAGUCACAGCUUCGACCCAACAGGGAAUUAUUUAUCUAAAAUAUUUAUCUAUCAAAAAUAAAUAAACAAAUUAACAUAAGUCCGGCACAAGUCUGAUUGGGAACCGUGUAAAGUUGUCGCCUAUCAGUUGGAUGAGGGCCACCGCAUCACAGUAUGGAGGAACAUCAAGUUUCUGUCAUCAAGUAUGAGGUUCUUAACCUUUUUGUAUCCCAGAAAAGUCGUCGUCGGAAUGAGCUUCUCUUUAAAUAAGUUACUUUCAGCAGCUGCUGACAACAACGCUCCACCACCUGUGAAAAUUACAUUGAUCUUUGCCAAAACUUAAUUUAUUGUCUGGAAAACUAUAAAUAGGAUCUUAGCCCCCCUCCACUCCCCCUGCCCCAGCCUCCAGGUUCUGCGUUAUGGCCCUGCGUUUGCUGUCAGAGCACAGCACAAAGAUCCUCCUGCUAGGUCAACAUGCCAUGCCGUCCAGCUUGAUUGGCUCAGGCAGAGGCUCAGGGUUUAAGGCCUCUAUCAACACUCUGUAACGCUCCAUGUGGUUGAGUCCUGGAGAGAUGAUUGAAGAGGCUGUUGCUUCUACCCAACUGCACUGGCAGGGAGCUGGUUUCUGCUUUUACUGCUAACAGUUUAGCUUCCAAGUUAAAGAAUUGUUGGUUGGACAUAUUCAAAGAUGCUCAUGAUCCUUAAUUGGAAAGCUGCUAAAUGGCUAACAGUGCUUUUCUGGACACUCAAACACACUUUACAAUGAAUUUAUCCAUCCACAAUUAAAAGCUACAGAUUGUAGCCGCAGUUGCCCUGGGGCAUACUGAUAGAAUCACCAUCCACCAGGAGGUAAAAUGGGUGACGUAUCAUCACCAAGGACACAACCACAGAGGCGGAUGUUUACAGGACGAACUCCUGCCACCAUCGCCCCAAUUUUGAUUUUGUAGACAGUGCCAUGGUUUGGACUUUGUCACAGUCAGGUUUACCACCAUUAAGUAGGAAACUAUGUACUUCUUUUUUCUUUUUACAUUUUCUAUCAAAAAUCUGCAUCCCUUUUAGGGACAAAAGCUAAAAAUAGAAAUAAAAGUUUUUUUUUAACACA